rnacentral:rRNA from 1 species
AGAGUUUGAUCCUGGCUCAGGAUGAACGCUGGCGGCGUGCCUAACACAUGCAAGUCGAACGAGGUGCUUUAGUUAGCUUGCUAACUUUUGUUACCUAGUGGCAAACGGGUGAGUAAUGCAUAAGUAACCUGCCCUUAAGUUUGGGAUAACUUUUCGAAAGAAGAACUAAUACCAGAUAUUCUCAAUCAAUCGCAUGGAUGGAUGAGGAAAGAUUUAUUGCUUAAGGAGGGGCUUAUGUCAGAUUAGCUAGUUGGUGGGGUAAUGGCCUACCAAGGCGACGAUCUGUAGCUGGUCUGAGAGGAUGGUCAGCCACACUGGGACUGAGAUACGGCCCAGACUCCUACGGGAGGCAGCAGUGGGGAAUAUUGCGCAAUGGGGGAAACCCUGACGCAGCGACGCCGCGUGAGUGACGAAGUCUUUAGGGAUGUAAAACUCUGCCAAGAGGGACGAUUGUGACGGUACCUCUAGAGGAAGCCCCGGCUAACUACGUGCCAGCAGCCGCGGUAAUACGUAGGGGGCGAGCGUUAUCCGGAUUUAUUGGGCAUAAAGAGCACGUAGGUGGCUAAGAAAGUCAGAUGUUAAAUAGUUCGGCUUAACUGAAUUAUGCAUUUGAAACUUCAUAGCUAGAGAUCGGUAGAGGAAAGCGGAACUCAUGGUGUAGCGGUGAAAUGCGUAGAUAUCAUGAGGAACACCAGUUGCGAAGGCGGCUUUCUGGACCGAAUCUGACACUGAGGUGCGAAAGCGUGGGGAGCGAACGGGAUUAGAUACCCCGGUAGUCCACGCCGUAAACGUUGUUCACUAGGUGUUGGAGGUAUCGACCCCUUCAGUGCCACAGAUAACUCGUUAAGUGAACCGCCUGGGGAGUACGACCGCAAGGUUAAAACUCAAAGGAAUUGACGGGGGCCCGCACAAGCAGUGGAUCAUGUGGUUUAAUUCGACGAUACGCGAAAAACCUUACCUGGGUUUGACAUCUGCGGAAUCCUUGGGAAACUUAGGAGUGCCAGCAAUGGAACCGCAAGACAGGUGGUGCAUGGCUGUCGUCAGCUCGUGUCGUGAGAUGUUGGGUUAAGUCCCGCAACUAGCGCAACCCCUUUCCUAUGUUGCCAGCACUAACGGUGAGAACUCAUAGGAUACUGCCUGUAAAAAGCAGGAGGAAGGUGGGGAUGACGUCAAGUCAUCAUGCCCCUUACAUCCAGGGCUACACACAUGAUACAAUGGCCGGUACAAACGGUCGCGAAACCGCGAGGUGAAGCAAAUCUGAUAAAACCGGUCCCAGUUCGGAUUGUAGUCUGCAACUCGACUACAUGAAGGUGGAAUUGCUAGUAAACGCAGAUCAGCACGCUGCGUUGAAUACGUUCCCGGGCCUUGUACACACCGCCCGUCACACCAUGAAAGUUGGAAACACCCGAAGCCAAUGUACUAACUCUUCGGAGAGGUAGUUGUCGAAGGUGGGUUCAGCGAUUGGGGUGAAGUCGUAACAAGGUA